UUGCGCCUGGGACGGACCCGGCCCGGACCAUGUGACGGCUUCCCAGGCAGCCGGUCCCGGUACGGUCUCGUACAUCCAAGAAUUUUCUUGGAUUUAAUGAUUUCU
rnacentral:sRNA from 1 species